GAAAGUACUGAAUUCAAAUCCCAACUCUGCCACCAGCGGUGGGAGAUUGGACAAUAUGUUCAUUACUCUGGGUCAUACAUACACAGUGAGGAUAAUAUAUUUUUUCAUGAGGACCCAAUGAGAUGAUUCAUGCAAAAUGUUUACUAUAGUGCCUGGCACAUAGUAAAUACUCAAUAAACAUUAGCUUUAAAAGGUAUCAAACAUUUGUUGAGCACUUGCAAUGUACCAGGCCUAACUUGGGAAACAAAAUGAAAAUAGACGGUCCUGUUUCAAAGAGAUAACAGUUUGGUAGAGAAACAUACAUACAAAUAAAAAAAAAAAAAACAUGCUCACUACUCAAAUGAAAACAUCACAGGCAGGUUAGAAAAUGAACUUAUACAUCUGCCUGGAAAGACAGGUAAAUAGAAAUCUUGGAAGAGGAGGAAGCAUUUGACUCAAGAUGAGUAGAGGGGAGAUGAGGAGAGACCUUUUGAAGGACUCCUUAAGAGCUGUACAAACAACUUCUUACAUAGGAGAUAAUUGGUCCUGCCACUUAAAAGUGUUAGCAUCCUUGGUACGUGUUGCUGAUCCCAUUACGGAGAGAAGGCAGGGAGGACUUGUAACCACUUGCCUCUGGAAAAGCAGGAGUGACCGGGAUAAAUGGAGCUGGAAGAGCCUUAAAGAGCUUGUCAUUCAUCCUCUUUGUUUCACAAAUGAGGCAACAGUGGCCUAGAGGCUGAGAAGUGUUGUUCCAGACAGAGUCUUCUAUGGGGCUUUUUCCAGCCUUUUGCAUGAAGAGACCUAUAGUACUUAUUCAUUGCAGUAGACAUAAAUGAAUGGUGUUCUUCCCACAUUAGCUGAGAAAGAUACAGACCAAAGGAAAGUAAAACUUUGGUAAGCCCCAAGAGGGAGAGAAGCCAGUAAUACUGAAGUUACUGUACUGGCCCAUGUAAUUGGUGCUGAGUGCGAGUGAAUCAGAUUCCAAUCCACUCAAAUUUAGGGCACCUGGCCCGGAACUUUUAACUAAGAGCCGUUGUCAACAGCAACAAAACAGUCACCAAGACUGGGCAGUACCUUGACCCAAAGCCAAGAGGCAGGACCACAGAAAGUCUACAGACGUGAUAUUCCACUUCCAUGUGCACAUCACAUCGCAAGAGGAACUGCUG